AAAGUUAUAUCAUUUAAUUUGAAUAAUUCGUAUUGAGUUUAAACUAUAUUUUAUAAAAUGUGAUUAGUAUGCUUGUUUUAUAAUUUAAAUUAGAAAUAACUAUUUGAGCUCGUUAAUAGAUUGAUAGAUAAAAUCUUAUGCGUUUUGAAAGUAAUCUUGAUAGUAUUAUAUUUGAAUCUUAAAUUGUUAUUCUAUCUCAAGUACUUUAUAAAAUUUAUGUUACUUGUAUAUAUAUAUAUUUUUCCUAGUUUUAUGUUUCUUACUUUAUACGUACCGUUAUUAUCUAACACGUAUACUCGCUGACCAAUCACGUACCGACACACGUACUUCACACUCGUUUAUGAGUUAUUGGGCCACGCUUAUUGUUUCUUCACCACUCAUUCACGGUUAAACUCCUACCACAUAUACGCAAUACAUAUCACAGAAGAAAAAAAAAGGGGGAACAGAAAAGAAGCAAAGGGGAAACGAGAAACUGAGGAAAGGGAGAAGAGGGAUCAAGGAAGCACCACGAAGAACAGAGAGACGUGCGCGAUCGAGGGAGAAGGUAGCGUUGCCACCAUGCCUCAUCAUUGUCGCUGAAGCUCUCCUUGCCACUAUCAACGCCAUUUAGGGCAGAGGAGAAGAGGAAGAAUGACAGAGAAAAGAGAUUGGAGCUGCUACAGGAACGGCGGUUCCUGCUUCUAACCUCUGCUCUUUUGAUUUCUGGAGCUACCGUGGGUGGAGCUUGUCAUCAAAGGAAGCAAGCUGCCGCCACCAACUCUUAAUUAAGACAGUAUCCUCCUCUUUGUUCUGAUUCCAAUUUUCCCAUUUUUGAAACCCCCCUUUUUGGCUCCUAUUUCCUGCUACAAUUAGGUCGAGUAUUAAAGCUGGUACUGCCAAGGGACGGUUGGAGCUGUUACUGAUUCUGAAUUUGCUAUCUGGUACUGCGAAGACUAAUGUUGUUGCUGUUCCGGUUGCGGUUGCGUGAGAAUUACCGCUGCUGCCCUGAAACUAAAAGAGAAGAGAGUUGUGACGUUAAAGUAUGCGAUUGCGACAUCGAGUGACACAGGUUUGAAGACGCAAUUUGAAACUGCGAGCGAUUAGUAGGUUUUCUUUAUGGUUUUAAUUGGUCUGGUAGAGUCCCCUCACUGAUUGUCCCUUGAGAUUUUAUUUCUUAUAGAGGGGUAGG